CAGCCUGCUUCCAUAUCGUAAACUGCCUUGGAACCAAGUACCACUACCAGGGAGACAAACUAUUGCUUAGAGGAUGCUGACGGGAGCAGCAUGCCAAAAUUGGAAGAAAAUCAAGCCCAAGUUUUCCCUAUGGAUGAUGCAAAUUCAACUGCUGACUGACCACUGGGAACCCAAUCCAACAGCCUGGUCAGUUCCCUCGGCGCAGGCCCAGCACCUCCCAGGCCCACCUUCCUCACUUCCGUCAAGCCUCAUGGCAGCAUCUGCCCACACAGGAAAGAGACAAAACCAUUACCAAUAAAAUUGUGAAGUUUUCCAAAACACUGUUCAUCAUAUAUUUCUCUGGUAAGUGUUUGAGCUUGUGGAUGAAGUUGAUCAUAUAUUCACACAUUGGGGAGCGGUUUAUUCGGUAUACAAAUCGGCCAUUCUCAAACCUUGCAU
rnacentral:lncRNA from 1 species